rnacentral:rRNA from 1 species
GACAGAGGGUGCAAACGUUGUUCGGAUUUACUGGGCGUAAAGCGCGUGUAGGCGGCCUUGCAAGUCGGAUGUGAAAGCCCACGGCUCAACCGUGGAAGUGCAUCCGAAACUGCAUAGCUUGAGUGCGGGAGAGGGAAGCGGAAUUCCUGGUGUAGAGGUGAAAUUCGUAGAUAUCAGGAGGAACACCGGUGGCGAAAGCGGCUUCCUGGCCCGACACUGACGCUCAUGUACGAAAGCGUGGGGAGCAAACAGG